rnacentral:rRNA from 1 species
AUUGAACGCUGGCGGCAGGCCUAACACAUGCGAGUCGAACGGAUGAAGGGAGCUUGCUCCUGGAUUCAGCGGCGGACGGGUGAGUAAUGCCUAGGAAUCUGCCUGGUAGUGGGGGAUAACGUCCGGAAACGGGCGCUAAUACCGCAUACGUCCUGAGGGAGAAAGUGGGGGAUCUUCGGACCUCACGCUAUCAGAUGAGCCUAGGUCGGAUUAGCUAGUUGGUGGGGUAAAGGCCUACCAAGGCGACGAUCCGUAACUGGUUUGAGAGGAUGAUCAGUCACACUGGAACUGAGACACGGUCCAGACUCCUACGGGAGGCAGCAGUGGGGAAUAUUGGACAAUGGGCGAAAGCCUGAUCCAGCCAUGCCGCGUGUGUGAAGAAGGUCUUCGGAUUGUAAAGCACUUUAAGUUGGGAGGAAGGGCAGUAAGUUAAUACCUUGCUGUUUUGACGUUACCAACAGAAUAAGCACCGGCUAACUUCGUG